CUCUUUACCGUCUGACGAUUACGUAUGCGAGCAGAUCUUUGCCGACCGAAAGUUUUACGAUCGUGACCAAACGGGCGAAAGUGGUGUGAGAAGCGCAUCGACCAACGAUGAAAUACGUAUUGCUCAGUAGCAAUGCUCACUGUUAUAGAAAAUAAUAAUAUGUUGCACGAGAGUUGAGUUCAAUUGACUGCCAUUAUGUAGCGAUACGGACUCAUACCCGAUCCAAUUGUUGGAGCAAUUGAAAUAGAUGGAAAACUAACGUUCAUAAAUUAAAAUAUGGAAGAAUGCAAUGGGAAAGUAAAUUUGAUUAACGCUAAAGAGAUCUAUGAAAGGUGGUUUAACAUUGUAAUGGAAUACUUUCGAUUACGUCUAUUUUAUACGUCACCUAAUGGUGCAAAACGGAAUAAACCUAAGAUCCUGAAAGUUUUGUAUUUUUUGAAAAUUAAUAUAAGCUAUAUACAGUUAAUUUAAUAAUGUAAAUAAUUUUAUAAUUUUAUCAAAUUUAGUGUAAUUUUAAUAUUAGUUAAUAAGCCAAAAUAAAUUUUUGUUUAAAGAAUUUUGUAUUUUAUAGAAAAUUAAUAGCUGUAUUUAUAGCUCAUCUUAAUAAUGUAAAUCAUUUGAUCAUUUUAUGAAAUUUAUUGUAAUUUUAAUAUUAUUAUUUCAAAAUGGACUUAAAACAUUUCUUUAAAAGAUAUUUUUUUUUUUUAUUGUUUAUUUAAUACUCUUAGUAUUUUUACAAUAUAACUAGUUUAUAAGUUUAUAGAUAGGCAAUGUAAUACAAUAUAGAAGUAUCGUUUUCAACAAUUAAACGAUUUAAACAAGAAUUAUACAGAUUUUUAAAUAUUAGUAUAGUGAUAGGCACUAUAUAUUUAAAUGUAGUUUUUAGUCAUUUGAUUGGUCCUCUUGGUCUUUAUAUAGAAAGACAACUCGAUGUAAUCGUGAUUUUAGCCUAGGCCUGUUGAUUAUAUUUACAAUUUUAUAGUGGUGUAAUAUUGAUUCUAUGUUCAAUCAAUAUACAUAAUACAUUAUUUCAA